rnacentral:ncRNA from 1 species
UUAACGGAGAGUUUGAUCCUGGCUCAGGACGAACGCUGGCGGCGUGCUUAACACAUGCAAGUCGAACGAUGAGGGCCCGGGCUUGCCCCGGGUCUGAUUAGUGGCGAACGGGUGAGUAACACGUGAGUAACCUGCCCCCCGACUUCGGGAUAACCGCGAGAAAUCGUGGCUAAUACCGGAUAUGACGCCCCCUGCCGCAUGGUGGGGGUGUGGAAAAGACUGUGUCGGUCGGGGGAUGGGCUCGCGGCCUAUCAGCUUGUUGGUGGGGGUGAUGGCCUACCAAGGCCGACGGGUAGCCGGCCUGAGAGGGUGACCGGCCACACUGGGACUGAGACACGGCCCAGACUCCUACGGGAGGCAGCAGUGGGGAAUAUU